CCUACGGGCGGCAGCAGUGGGGAAUAUUGGACAAUGGGCGAAAGCCUGAUCCAGCCAUGCCGCGUGUGUGAAGAAGGCCUUCGGGUUGUAAGGCACUUUCAGUGGGGAAGAAAGCCUUGGGGCUAAUACCCUCGAGGAAGGACAUCACCCACAGAAGAAGCACCGGCUAACUCCGUGCCAGCAGCCGCGGUAAUACGGAGGGUGCGAGCGUUAAUCGGAAUUACUGGGCGUAAAGCGCGCGUAGGCGGUCUGAUAAGCCGGUUGUGAAAGCCCCGGGCUCAACCUGGGAACGGCAUCCGGAACUGUCAGGCUAGAGUGCAGGAGAGGAAGGUAGAAUUCCCGGUGUAGCGGUGAAAUGCGUAGAGAUCGGGAGGAAUACCAGUGGCGAAGGCGGCCUUCUGGACUGACACUGACGCUGAGGUGCGAAAGCGUGGGUAGCAAACAGGAUUAGAUACCCCAGUAGUC
rnacentral:rRNA from 1 species